GUGGCCAUAAUUUUUUAUGUUGACUUUGAGGCCGAAUGACUCCUCUUUAUUCCAGAUUGCUUGAGUUGGGCCUGAAGGACUGGGGUUGGUCUCUUGAUGUUGAAAUGGAUGAUGACGAUGUAUUAGACUUCUGAGGAUUAACCUAAGUUGGAUAGGUGAUAAUCCAUCUGGAAGCAAUGAAAGCGGAGAAUGUCAUAGUGUUCUUUUUGGCAAAUGGCAGGACUUCCAAGUGCCAAACUCCACAAGUAUAAAUGACUGGGGAAAGGGGGGGUGGGGUCUAAUAUUUAACACUGAACAUGCCAUAAAUCAUCUAAAGGGUGUAGUUUCCAUUUUAAGUCGUUUUAAGGGUGUUUUAUGUCUUCCUAGACUGUACAAUUCUUCAAAAACUAAAUUAAAGUAAAAGCAUUUUAAACUUCGGAAGUUAUUUUUGGUUUCCUUGCAAGGUUGUCAGAUGUGACUGUUUGCCUGAGUGUGUUUGAAACAGAAUAUAUACUUCAGCUCUGCAAUUACAUGAUCAUCUGAAUUUAUAUACUCAAGUAUUCUAUUUUUGUUAGGAAAAACAGAUAAAUAUUUAGUGACAGAUUAUAUUUUUAUCAUGCAUUAUAUCAAAGCACACUUUUGAAAAAUGCUUUUCAAAGAGCAUUACUUAGUUGUUUGCCAGAACUAUCUGCUCAAAAUAUAUGCAUUAUUGAAGACUGAUAUUACAUGAUGCAAGGAUGCAAUCCGUAGCACAUUUGAGCAUUUUAUUAAUUGCUGUGACAAAAAUUAGAUACAACCUGUAUCCAUAGUGGAACAUGAAGACCUCCGGUCCAAACAUUUUCUGUAUUUGAUCAUUUUGCCACUGACAACUGUUGAAACAUUGUGAAAUUGUUAAUAAAAAAGAUUUAUUUGAUGGAA